UGGCUCUUCGGGAGGCGCUGAGAUUCCGGGCCCGGCGGCCGCGGGGAGCGGGUGCCAGUUAGGAACGGGGUUUCUGAUCUCCUCGUUUGCGUUUUGGGGGUUCUUUUUGUUCAUAGCAGCAGACUCGAAAAAGCGAGCCGGCUUGGAGGAAGUCCGCCCAGCGAUCCGAGUGCGCAUUGAUCAGUGUCGAGAGAAAAAAAAGCUACAUAAAUAUAUAUUAUCCACGACGCCGCCAAGCUCUCCAGCGCCGGAGGAGGCCCCGAGGUUCGCUGCCCCAGGCCCGGAGUCCAGCCAGGACACCUCUCCCUGACGAUCCCGAGCCCAACCCUAACAGCAAGUACAGUUCUGAGAAUUGUGGAACUUCAUCCUUUCAGUUUAAGACACUCCUGCCUUUGCUUGAUGGAAUCUUGUAGGCUUGCAAAGACUCCUUGCUUCGUGCUUUUCUGCGCAUCUGCCUCCUUCACCCUGGUUCCUCUUCACAUCCGGACCCUGGACCUGAAGCUAUGAAGAGCCUCUUCUUCCCUAAGGAAGCAACAGAAAAAGGACAGGCCUGGGAAGACCCAGCUAUCUUGUUAGAAAGACCAAAGUCAUCCCAAGUGAAAAGCCCCAGAACAGCAAACGGCAACAGAUGGUUAAAUAUCUUCCUGGCCGAGGAGUUCCACAUCCACACGAGGGAAAACAGAAGACGAUCCUGAGCUCCCUCAGCAGGCCUGGCCAGGAGAGUGAACCCUGGAGGGAGGAAGAGAAUUGGAGGUGGUCCGCAGCGUGUUUGUGGGAAACCCAGGGACUCCCCAGAAGGGACUGGCUGCCUCCUGGAGCUCAGUCGUGUCCAACUUUUGCGACCCCAUGGACUGCAGCCCAUCAGGCUCCUCUGUCAAUGGGAUUCUCCAGACUGACUCUGCACUUGGCUGUAUGCUUUGCUUCAGUCAAUGGGGCAUUACCAAAUGUGACACAGAGACCUGAGAAGCAAUUGCACAUUGAAGUUGUCUUCUACUGCUCUUGGAACCCUCAGCCAGCAUAAUGUCAAUGAACAGGACAAGUCUGCUGGAGACAUGUGGCCCAGUGGCUCCAGCCACCCCACCUUACAGCUACCACUGACUGCCAGACAUAUGGAUGAGGCCGUCCUGGACCAAGGAGUCCUCAUCCCACCUGUGAGCUUUAUCAGCCACAGAAGUGAUCCCAGGGAGACCAGCAGAAGAACCACCUUGCUGAGCUCAGCCCAGAUUGCCCACUCACAUGUUCCUGAGUUAAUAUGAAAUAAGUGGUGUUUCAGAUCACUAAGUUUUGGAGUAGUUUGUUACACAGAAAGAGUUAAUUCACUGAUCUAGUUGGUAGUAGAAGGAAAAGUUUCUCUGUUGGAGGAAGGGGUGUUUGUUAAGAAUUUCUAGGCAUGAAUCAAGGGAGACAUGUUUUGUGUUUAAACAUUCUUUGUAAUCCUGUUCUCACCUUAUGGAUUUAAAAACAUAAAAAUUAGCUCUAUUGGAGGACCCACCAUUAAUUUUCACCAGAAAUGAAUGUUAACAAGACAAGCAUGGGCAUAGGAUGGUGGUGCUGGCACGCUCCAACAAUUCUUCACUGAGUCCUUGGGAAGAAAGCCAAAGAGAAUCAAGCCCAGGGAGGAUGCUGCAUUACACAAUCUAUGUGGAAGCUACAACUUGCUCUUGGGAAGUGAAAGAAUUCAUCUCAUCCUGGCUCCCAGUCUGUCUCCAUGGGGUGGGCAUCACUUUAGCAUCUAUUACCCAGGAGCUUACCCCAGGCGUAUGACUCCUUGAAGAACAGCGCCUAUAAAAUGAGGCUCUGAAAGAAACAAGAUUCUCUUCCCUGCCUGAGGCUUGCCUUUCGGGAACCUGCCACCUCUUUGCAUAAUUGACUCUAGGGAUGAUUGUCCCUCUCAAGGGAGAACAUGUGUACUUCUAGGGACAAGACCUUUACCCUGCAGAUUACAACAGGAAAUCAAGAUAUAACUAUCAGCCUAUUCUAGGUGGCUCGACUUACAUUUAGAAGCAGAGGUUGUGUGAGAAAAUUCUCUCUCUCUCUCUUUCUCUGUGUAAAUGUAAGAAUACUGGCUCAGAAGUCAGGGUACAUGACUUUUGCAUUCCCAGGUUCAGUCCUAUUUUACAAGAAAUUUCUACUUGGUGUGAUUUGAAAGAGUUUAGGGCAGAAUCUAAUCUGCUAUUUGCAUCAGUGCUUUGGAUUGAAAGAUAUUUUAUUUCUAAGAAUCCUCUUUCAAAACAUAGGAAUAUUCAAAAACCUCUAUUAUCUGUUAACACUUAGAUAGGAAAUCACAGAGGUAAGGCAGGGGGUAGAGGUUUUGGAGCUCUUAUGGGAACCCUAAUGGAUGUGUGGGCACCAAUACUUAUUACCUUUCAUACUUGAGGUUUCAUUCAAGCUUGGACCUGCCCAGCCUUCUUGCAAAUAAAUACAUCUCACACACUGCCCCAAAGCAUGUGCUACAUCAAUUAGAUCAAAAGAUUCAGUGUGAUGGACAUUCUUUCUUUCUUUUUGUAGAUUUAAGAAUAUUAUAGGGGAAGAGAGUAAAUUGAAUUAAUUAUAUUAUUAUUUGAGUUACCAGUAGAGAAACAUGCUUUUUAAAGAAAUAGCUAUCUCCAAGCCCUAUGCAAAGUCCUUUACAAACUAAUGUGUAUUAUUACAGCUCCAAUUUUCCACAUAAGGAAACUCAGAUCCUUAACUGGUAAGUUCUAAUGCCUCAUCUUCGGCUGCUGGUAAAUGUCAGAAUGAAAACUCAAAUACAGCAGGCCUAUCUGAUGUUAAAGCACUGCUUUUAUUAUUUAAGUAAUUUGUAUGAAAUAUUUCAAUCACACAGAAAACUUCAAAGAGUGACACAGCAAACACCUGUGUGCCCAUCACCCAAUUUCAUUAUUAAUAGAUCCUAAUAAUCUGCUGGAU
ensembl:lncRNA